UUUUAUUUUUUUUAUAUUAAUAAAUACAAAAUAAACACAUGCUACUUAAUAAUGUAGAUUCUUCAAUUUUUUUAGUUUCUUUUAUAUCAAUUGGUCCAAUUAUUACUGUUUCAAUUUGAUCGAUCAAAGUAACAUGUUAUAAGAAUCUUAGAAGAGGGUGUAAAAAGUUAAGUGACCUAAUGAGCUAACUCGUUUAACUUACCAACCCGUGGUGGGUCGGGUCGGGUUCGAAUUUUUUCGACUCACUAAUAAAUGAAGGGGGUUACUCCCUGCACCUCCCCAAUUCCAACCCCCACCCCCCAUUCCAUUUUUACCCUUUCCUCUAUUUUUUCUAUUCCAAUUUUAUCCUUUAGCAAAAAUAUAUAUUUAGAAAUACAAUUUUAUAAUUAUAUUCUCCCACCCCCACAUAACCUAUUNAUUCUUUUUUUUUUAUCUUCAUGCUUUCAUCUUUACGCUUUCUUCCCACGAAUUCUUUGUUCUAUUUUUCUAGAAAUUCUUUCUCCCAUUCUUCUUGUAUUUCAAGUGAUAAUUGAGAUAUCGAUCUCUUCUGAAAGAAUUUGUCCUUAAAUUAUUAUAUCUCUGCAUUACAUUGGUGUGGUGGUGUUCGAUCCAACCUCAGCAGUGAUAAUUGAGAUAUCUCUCAUUCUUCUUGUAUUUCAAGUGAUAAUUGAGAUAUCGAUUUGUUCCGAAAGAAUUUGUCCUUAAAUUAUUAUAUCUCUGCAUUACAUUGGUGUGGUGGUGUUCUAUCCAACCUCAGCAUUGGUGUGGUGGUGUUCUAUCCAACCUAGCAGCGAUCCUCUUGGAGUCCAGGUUAGUAAUACUUUCGUAAAACCGUUAAAACGGAUGGCGACUUCCAUUUACCCUUAAACGGAUGUUGACAUCCGUUGACGGAUUCCCAGAUUCGUUUAAGCGUUUUUAGAUUAUAUUAUGUUUUUGUUAGUUUUAUUUGUUAAGAUUUGUUUUUAUUAAUUUUAUUUUUUAAGAUUUGUUUUUAUUAGUUUAUUUUUUAGGAUUUGUUUUUAUUAGUUUUAUUUUUUAA
rnacentral:lncRNA from 1 species